GACGAACGCUGGCGGCGUGCUUAACACAUGCAAGUCGAACGGUGAACUCCGCUUGCGGGGGGAUCAGUGGCGAACGGGUGAGUAACACGUGGGCAACCUGCCCUCAGCUCUGGGAUAACUCCAAGAAAUUGGGGCUAAUACCGGAUAUGACCGCUGACCGCAUGGUCUGGUGGUGGAAAGAUUUAUCGGCUGGGGAUGGGCCCGCGGCCUAUCAGCUUGUUGGUGGGGUAGUGGCCUACCAAGGCGACGACGGGUAGCCGGCCUGAGAGGGUGACCGGCCACACUGGGACUGAGACACGGCCCAGACUCCUACGGGAGGCAGCAGUGUGGAAUAUUGCGCAAUGGGCGAAAGCCUGACGCAGCGACGCCGCGUGGGGGAUGACGGCCUUCGGGUUGUAAACCUCUUUCAGCAGGGACGAAGCGAAAGUGACGGUACCUGCAGAAGAAGCACCGGCCAACUACGUG
rnacentral:rRNA from 1 species